UUAGUGAUAUAUAAAAUUAGCCUGCAGCAUACUGAAGUGCCAGAAAGUAAGGAAGUGCAUCCCAAUAAUCCACAAUAAUGUCAAAAGGACAGAGCACCUGAAUGAAAGUGCCAAAUGGCCAAAACUGGAACCAUUUGAGCAAAGGGAAAUAAGUGCCUUUCCUGACAAUGAAGAAUCUCUAUGUGCCUGCAGCAGAUGACCACAGGCCAUGACUUGCCAGUCUCCUGGGUCCCUGUCCAUCUCGGACAAACCCUCAUGCCAACUUUAAGGAAGCAGCCUCCCAUGACCAAGACUUUGUAAAACCCAGAGGGCAGGAAAGCCCACUGAUGCAAUCCACUCUGGCAGUGUUCUUGGGGCCAGAAUAGUGACAAAAGCUGAUCUGAAGACCAAACAGAAGACAUGAAACUGCAAAACACACUCCUGGUGUGAUUUCAUCCAUUCUUGUAAUUUGGACUACAACCGAUAUGCAGAUGACCCUACUCCAUUAACUGCACAUCAGUGGUUCCCAAAGCUGACUGCAUCUUAUGAUCACUUGGGAGUUCUUUUUUUUAUUAUUAUUAAAAAUAAAAAUAAUGCCACACACA